rnacentral:tRNA from 1 species
GUGGGUAUAGCUCAGUGGUAGAGUGCAUGCUUAGCAUGCGGAAGGUCCCAGGUUCAAUCCCCAGUACCUCCA